rnacentral:lncRNA from 1 species
AUGCCCCACCCUCCUCAGAAGGUGACCCAGUGGUCCAGCCAGCUCCCACAACACUCAAAGAUGUCUGGCUUUCCUCCACAAUCGCCUCAGCAAGUCAAAUUACCCUUCUACCUUUCCCACCAUCCCAUGCACUCUGAGGGAGCUGCCUACCAGCCCCCACACCCCCAGGUACCCAGCUACUCGUCCCAACAGCCCCAAAGCCCAGAAUUGCCCAGCUACCCACCACAGGAACACCACCAUCCUGAUUGGCAGCCUCAGAAGAUGCAACACCCUCAGUCUCCCGACUCACCCCCACAGCAGCCCAAGUUACCCGGCCAUCCACAUCAGCAGCCCCCCAAAAUACCGAUCUACCCUUCUCCCCAACCAAAGUUACCCAGCUACCUUCCUGAGCAGCAGCAGCAGCAGCAGCAGCAGCAGCAGCGGCACCCCAAACCUCCUGCUUUUCUGCCACAGAUGCCUCAAGAGCGGCAUCCUUCUGAGGAGUCGGGCUUCCCCACCCAGCACCACAGCUCGCCUAGUUACCCUCAACUGCCCCAGGAGUCACAGCAGCAGCAUGCCCCCAGUUACUCCACACAGCACUCUGGAAUGCCUUACCUGCCACCCAUGCACCACCAACCACAGAUGAGCGGCUACGUGCCGCAGCAUCAUGGCAUAAACAGCUACCCGCCUCAGCACAAGCUGCCCGGCUACCCCCCCCAGGAGCCGAGGCACAAAGACUUUUCCAGUUAUCCAAACCAGCAACUGCAGAGGCCUGAAGCAAGCGCUGACCUGCCACAUCAGCCCUGGCAAAAGCCCCCGUCUGAAGCAUUUCCCCCACCUCAACAGUCUCAGGCCCAAAGUUAUCCAUCUGUGGGUCUACAGCAACCCAAACAGCCGCAAGGGCCCCGCCUCCCAAACCAGAAACGGCAAGCGCCACGCUACAUUCCAAAGAGGGUCCCGCAUCAUAGCUUCAUGCCCCAGCGGCCUCACGUACCGUCUUACCACGCAAAGCGGCCGCACUACCCAAACAGCUGGCCGCAGAGAGGACACUGA